rnacentral:tRNA from 1 species
GUGCUCGCGUCUAGGGGUAUGAUUCUCGCUUAGGGUGCGAGAGGUCCCGGUUCAAACCCGGACGAGCCCC